CCUACGGGAGGCAACAGUGAGGAAUAUUGGUCAAUGGACGAGAGUCUGAACCAGCCAAGUAGCGUGAAGGAUGACUGCCCUAUGGGUUGUAAACUUCUUUUAUAUGGGAAUAAAAUGUUCCACGUGUGGGAUUUUGUAUGUACCAUAUGAAUAAGGAUCGGCUAACUCCGUGCCAGCAGCCGCGGUAAUACGGAGGAUCCGAGCGUUAUCCGGAUUUAUUGGGUUUAAAGGGAGCGUAGGUGGAUUGUUAAGUCAGUUGUGAAAGUUUGCGGCUCAACCGUAAAAUUGCAGUUGAAACUGGCAGUCUUGAGUACAGUAGAGGUGGGCGGAAUUCGUGGUGUAGCGGUGAAAUGCUUAGAUAUUACGAAGAACUCCGAUUGCGAAGGCAGUUCACUGGACUGCAACUGACACUGAGGCUCGAAAGUGUGGGUAUCAAACAGGAUUAGAUACCCGUGUAGUC
rnacentral:rRNA from 1 species